AUUGGGUGUAGAGAUGACACAGUCGGCAUGGAAACGAAACACCUCUAACGUUGGGAUUCAUUCAUUGGUUGAAGACGGAAGGAGGAAUGAAGGAAACAAUUAAGUGAAUCCAAUAUAAUACGUCUGUAAAUAAACAGAUGUAGGGAAUCAAGAGUAUUGUUACUCCUGGGGGCGCAGCGCCACACACAGCACAACUCCCCCGCUAUUUUUCAAAACCCAGGUACUACCAGCCAAGUUCUUACCAUGCAACAUGCGAGUUGAAUAGCAACUAGCCUUGAAUUAGCCUCAGAGGUAAUAACUUACUUCCGGGUCUGUCCUGUCCCUGGUUUGAUCCGAGUUGUUUCCGACAGCGUGUUUUUGGGGUUGUUGCCUUUUAUGUCCCUUAACUCAGAAGUUUUCAAAAUAAAAUUGUUUCCUAAGCUUCUCCUUUUUUCCAGUUGUAGUUUGAUACUCUGAGAGUCCCAGGAUUUCCCCACAGACGAUAUAAAGUAGGCUACAGCAUUACUAUACGUUGACUUUGUAUGGAGUCGAACGCGUCUAUACGUUGACUUUGUAUGGAAGUCGCGCCGCCCCUUCGCUUUUGGUGUGAACGCGCCAUUAAUUUAGUUUUACUAUUCACAUAAACUAUGUGACGCAGUUAGCUGUGGUUCAAAGCUCUUCCUAUUUCUGAUCUGUCUGCACUAAGGAUCCCAGCAGCUCAAUCUUUAUUCUCAGAACCUUUGUUAAUGUUCUGUCUCGCUUCUAAACACUUCUCUGUUAUUUGGUGAACACCUAAAUCUCUUUAUUCCCUCCUUUCCUUGCAUUUGUUAUUCUGUAUUUCCAUUCAACACGGGCAGCACACGUUUCGUCACGGAAAAGAUAAGGUCUCCAGUCUACGAUGGAUGAGGAGAGAGAGGAGGGGGGUCCCACCUCUAAAACCACUCUGUCUGGGGAACAUGGCCGCCAGAGCAAAGCUAAGAGCCCAGAGCAGCGGGAGAGAGCAGACUCCCCUGGACCCAGCUGUGUCUCCUUGAAGAGUGACUGCUCUAUGGAUCAUCCUUCUAACUUUAGAGAUGGAAAUCAAUCAAUUGAGAAGAGAUUCCAGAAGGAGAGAGCAGACUGCCCUGGACCCAGCUGUGUCUCCUUGAAGAGCAACUGGUCUAUGGAUCAUCCUCCUGACCUUAAAGAUGGACGCCCCUCCAGAGAGGAGAGGUAGGAGUUUCCAACAAA